CUCCAACAAGGCCACACCAAUUCUUCCUAAACAAUCCACUAACCAGAAACAUUCAGAUAUGUGAGCCUAUGUGGGGACAUUCUCACUGUAACCUCUACACCGCCUGCGUCUCUUCUGUAUGUUCUACAAGCUAUUGCAGAAAAAUGGCCCACAACACAGCUUCGCCCUCUUCAUUCCUGAUGUAAAGCUUCCCAACUUCUGUGGUGCAGGUUCAGCCUCUGUAACGCAAGAAAGAACUCUAUGUAACUGUAGCCUCCACAUCCAAUAUAUUUCCUAUUAAAAACAUUCACUUGUAGCUGGGUUUGUUGUCUCUGACCUGUAUGUAAUCCUAGCCCUUGGGAGGGUCAAGAAUUCAAAGGCAACCCGUGCUACCAGGGACCCUGUCUCAAAAGCAACACAACACCCACAAAAUAGCCCUCGCUUUUCUGUAGUCACGCACCAUUUGCUCUUGUUUAUGGUAUACUGCAACUUUGUGCAAAUUGUUGGAUGUGCUUUCCUAGGGAUGUGCUUUCGUUUCUGCCUGUCAGACUCUCUCACCUUCUGGUGGUUAGCCACAGCCUUUUUGCUACUUCAGCGGACUCAGGCCAAUUGGCAGAGUGAUGUCAUCUGAGACAGGUACACGUGCUGUGGACACGUGAUGUUUGGGGGUAUAAAUAGGACUGGAUGGAUAACGCAGGAGUCUGAGCCUGGUGAGCUGGUACAGCUCGCUGCGCAAUGCUUGUGGAUCUCAAUUUUUUGCUGAUCUUCGCUUCGCUGAGAGAGACACAGCCGAGGACUUCUGACGUUCCUCCUGCUGACUCAAGCAGAGCCUGAAGCCUGGUUGUCUCUGCUAGGUAGUGCCACUGCCGCUCAUCCAUGUUUUCUAUCCCGAUUCUGCUGAACUGGACUGCUGCUGUAUCCGUGAACUGUUCUUUAGUGGAUCAAGCUGCCAUUGCUGACCUGUGAGCUGAACUGCCGAUUCCCAGAAAACACCAAUGGGAGUGGCUCCAAAGAAUCCUUCUAAACAGGUCCUCUUCCCCCGUCCUAUUGCUUAAGUCCAGGCACACUGAACUCACAGGGCUCAGAAGAAGAACGGAAAGACUGCAAGACUGGGGCGAUGACUGACUGCAGAGAAAGUGUUCUCCAAACCAUAACAGGGCCAAGGCACAGAGGAACUCACAGAAACGGUGGCCGCCCACUCAAAGCCUGAUAGAGCGUCAAACCAGACGGCGGCGUCCCAGCAGAGAGAGGGGUUAGUCAACAUUCAGACCCACCCCAACCAAGAAGCUGUUUGUAAAGGACACUUGCUGUCAGAGGAAGAAUCAGUUCUGUGGAGUGUCACUUGGGUGUUUCAAUCACACACUCAGGGAGCCUAGCAUGAUUCGAUCCUUGAAGACUGGUGGAAUUGUAUAGCCCUGGCUUGUUUAGGUUAGGCCUUUGGCGAGUUUCAAAAUUUUGAUCGUAAUUUGUCCAGUGUCAAACCUGGUUAAAGAAGAACAUCCAUUGGGAGGUGACUGCGUCAUGAGGAUGGAGAUAUGAUGAGUGGAUUUACUAUCUUUAUGAAGAGCUGAAGAGACCAGGGUCAUUCCCUCUCUUCCCUCUCUCCAUGUGAGGCCACAGCAAAAAGAUGGCUUUCUGAAAAUGUGGAAGUGGGUUUCACCAGAACUGUGCACCGCAACAGGAAGAUAAGAUUUUCUUAGACAAAGCUCAGGGAAGGCCUCUCCGCACAUAUCAUCUGAGCCAAGGCAAAGGCUGGAUGCUGUGUUCCAGGCAGGAGAUACACUCACGCACAGUAGCUAUAUGGUACCCAUGGGUUAGAAGGCGAGAGUGACAGAAGCAGAUGCCCCGGUCCCAGGGCCCAGUGACCAUUCCUGACAACCAAGGGUCAAGGUAAGUAAUGCACUGAUGUUGCCCUUUUCAUUUUUAUUGAAAGCAUCUCUUCUAAAGUUUAUCAUUCAUCCGAUG
rnacentral:sRNA from 1 species